rnacentral:rRNA from 1 species
GGAACACGUGAAGAAUCUGCCCUCCACUUUGGGAUAACACCGGGAAACCGGUGCUAAUACUGAAUAUUGAAACAUAAGUGGCAUCACUGAGUUUUGAAAGAAUUUCGGUGGAGGAUGACUUCGCGGCCUAUCAGCUAGUUGGUGAGGUAAUGGCUCACCAAGGCAACGACGGGUAGCCGGCCUGAGAGGGCGACCGGCCACACUGGGACUGAGACACGGCCCAGACUCCUACGGGAGGCAGCAGUGGGGAAUAUUGGGCAAUGGAGGAAACUCUGACCCAGCGACGCCGCGUGCGGGAUGAAGGCCUUCGGGUUGUAAACCGCUUUCAGUAGGGAAGAAGGGAAAGUGACGGUACCUACAAAAGAAGCACCGGCUAACUAUGUGCCAGCAGCCGCGGUAAUACAUAGGGUGCAAGCGUUGUCCGGAAUUAUUGGGCGUAAAGAGCUCGUAGGUCGUUUGUUACGUCGGAUGUGAAAACCUGAGGCUCAACCUCAGGCCUGCAUUCGAUACGGGCAAACUAGAGUUUGGUAGGGGAGACUGGAAUUCCUGGUGUAGCGGUGGAAUGCGCAGAUAUCAGGAGGAACACCAAUGGCGAAGGCAGGUCUCUGGGCCAAUACUGACACUGAGGAG